GCCACGGUGGCCUAGUGGUCAUGGCACUCGACUGCUGAUCCGAAGGUCGCGGGAUCGAAUCCCGGCCGCGGCG
rnacentral:tRNA from 1 species